AUGCAAGUCGAACGAAACCUUCGGGUUUAGUGGCGCACGGGUGCGUAACGCGUGGGAAUCUGCCCUUGGGUUCGGAAUAACACUUAGAAAUGAGUGCUAAUACCGGAUGAUGACGAAAGCCCAAAGAUUUAUCGCCGAAGGAUGAGCCCGCGUAGGAUUAGGUAGUUGGUGAGGUAAAGGCUCACCAAGCCAACGAUCCUUAGCUGGUCUGAGAGGAUGAUCAGCCACACUGGGACUGAGACACGGCCCAGACUCCUACGGGAGGCAGCAGUGGGGAAUAUUGGACAAUGGGCGAAAGCCUGAUCCAGCAAUGCCGCGUGAGUGAUGAAGGCCUUUGGGUUGUAAAGCUCUUUUACCCGGGAUGAUAAUGACAGUACCGGGAGAAUAAGCCCCGGCUAACUCCGUGCCAGCAGCCGCGGUAAU
rnacentral:rRNA from 1 species